CCUACGGGAGGCAGCAGUGGGGAAUUUUGGACAAUGGGCGCAAGCCUGAUCCAGCAAUGCCGCGUGAGUGAAGAAGGCCUUCGGGUUGUAAAGCUCUUUUGUCAGGGAAGAAACGGUGGAGGCUAAUAUCCUUUGCUAAUGACGGUACCUGAAGAAUAAGCACCGGCUAACUACGUGCCAGCAGCCGCGGUAAUACGUAGGGUGCAAGCGUUAAUCGGAAUUACUGGGCGUAAAGCGUGCGCAGGCGGUUUUGUAAGUUUGUCGUGAAAUCCCCGGGCUCAACCUGGGAAUGGCGAUGAAGACUGCAAGGCUAGAAUCUGGCAGAGGGGGGUAGAAUUCCACGUGUAGCAGUGAAAUGCGUAGAGAUGUGGAGGAACACCGAUGGCGAAGGCAGCCCCCUGGGUCAAGAUUGACGCUCAUGCACGAAAGCGUGGGGAGCAAACAGGAUUAGAUACCCUGGUAGUCCACGCCCUAAACGAUGUCUACUAGUUGUCGGGUUUUAAUUAACUUGGUAACGCAGCUAACGCGUGAAGUAGACCGCCUGGGGAGUACGGUCGCAAGNUUAAAACUCAAAGAUGACGGCGNGAGAGNGCGACGACGACGACGAGGAGGAGG
rnacentral:rRNA from 1 species